rnacentral:rRNA from 1 species
CCCUUAGAUGUUCUGGGCCGCACGCGCGUUACACUGAUGCAUUCAACGAGCUUAUAACCUUGGCCGAGAGGCCUGGGCAAUCUUGUUAACGCGCAUCGUGAUAGGGAUAGAUUAUUGAAAUUAUUAAUCUUGAACGAGGAAUUCCUAGUAAACGCAGAUCAUCAAUCUGCAUUGAUUACGUCCCUGCCCUUUGUACACACCGCCCGUCGCACCUACCGAUUGGAUGGUCCGGUGAAGCCUCGGGAUUGUGGUUCUUGCCGCUUUAUUGUGGCGUGACCGCGAGAACUUGUCUAAACCUUAUCAUCUAGAGGAAGGUGAAGUCGUAACA